GUCAUUUUGUUGUUUUUGUUGUUGUUGUUGUUUGAUUGACCGCCCCUGACUAAAUCCAAGAUCCAAUAUCUAGGAACCCCUGGAAGACAAUUCUUCCAGGAUUCUGGCCCUAAGUGCCUAAGCCUGGGUUAAGUUGGGAACCAGAGGUAGAGGCAGGACUUACAGGUUCUAAUGAAUCUCUCUGCACGUGUGUAGCACCUGGCGUCAGCCCCGCCCACAUCGCUGCGGGGCGGGGUCACGUGACCGGUAUGGGCCGCUGUGCGCUUGCACGUGAGAGCUCCGGCAGUAGCUGGACCCACCAGGUGCUGGGGCAUGUACCCUGCGGGGGAGCGGCUCUUGCCCUUGUGUGCGGAAGAGGUCGUAGGGUCGAAGACAGAGGCUUCUGGCCAGUGGCCCCCCCGCAUUCAAGCGAAGGUUUCUCAGACCCUGCAGUCUUCUGAGUAGCCCCACAGAGGACCAGCCAGCCAAGCCCAGAAUGGGGAGCAGGUAACGGUGGCAUUUUAAGCUGGAUCUGCGGGGUGCAUCCCAGCGGCUCCCACGGAGAAUGAACAGGAUCUGUCCUCGAGAUAACAGAACAUCUGAUGUCACGGAGCUCGGCCUUCGUUCCUCUCCGGGCACCCGUUCUUCCUAGCAUGCCUUCAACAUCCUGCUCCCC